rnacentral:tRNA from 1 species
GGGCUAUUUAUUAGCUCAGUGGUAGAGCGCGCCCCUGAUGAAUAAUUGCGGGGCAAGGUCUCUGGUUCAAGUCCAGGAUUGUCCA